rnacentral:lncRNA from 1 species
AUCAGAAACAAAUUUUUCAAGAAUUAAUGUCACCAGUAUCUUAUUCUGCACUUACCUAAUGGCAUACAAUUCACACUUGGAGUUUCAGGAUCAAAGGAAUUAGGUAAAGACAUUCAACUUCUAGCUAAAGUUAAGGUCACGAGAAUGAAAUUGAGGUGUCCGUCUUGAUUUUGUAUAAAUACUUUGACUUUCAUAUUUCUCAGUUAAAUUAAAUAUUUCAGAGCCAAGAUGGUCUCCUCAGUGCUAGAGACAAAGGUGGGUGGUAACCAGUGGGAAGAGAGAUGUUGUGUUAAGAGGAAUGCAGAGAUAUGGUCCAUUCAGCGUGAUUUUCAGAGCCCUUUCCGCCAAGUGGCUUAUCUUCAGACAUACUUUAUCACACAUUCUUGUUAUACAAAAUUAUUGUUAUAUAUUCAUCUUAUAUGUAUACACACACACACACACACACACAUAUUUUCUUAUUGUUGUUCAGUCGCCCAGUCUUUGCAACCCCAUGGACUGCAGCACACCAGGCCUCCCUGUCCUUCACCAUCUCCUGGAGUUUGCCCAAGUUCAAGGUAAAAAAAAAUGGAUAGUAUUUCUUUCCAUCCUAUUUCCAUCUCUUUAUUCCUUUUAACCAGACAUAGAUUCAUAACAUAUUCCAUGUAAGAACCAAGAAUAAUAUUAAUACUUACUAAAAGAUGAUGAUAAAUAAACUUUUGGUAACUCUUCACAUAUAGUAAGAUCUUAAAAAUAGUAGUUUUGUUAGUACCGAAAAUCAUGACAUCUCCUAUCAUAUCUCUUAUCCCCCCUAAAUCUACUACUUCUCUCCUCAUAACACAUUUCACUUUGUAUCAUGCUGAAUUUAUAUAUGUUCAUCAAUUUACACGUACCAUCAAUUUUGUUAACCUGUAGACACUUUGACAAUGUGGUGCAAUGUAUCUAUAUACAUUGGGGUUUUUGUAUACCUGUAAUUUUUAAGCUGGAAUAUACUUGCUUUACAAGGUGGUGUUAGUUUUAUCUGUAUGCAUUUGAAGAUUGCAACAAAUGGUCACUAGCUAACGAGGAACAAAUGAUAAUUAUAAAAUUUCCUAAAGAUUAUCAGUAACAGCUUAUGUAAAAAUGCUGAUGAUACGAGUAUCCCUGCCUGCUAUACGAACACUCCACCCUUUUAUCUUUCAUCCACAGAAGAAAAGAGGCAGAGGAGAGCGUGCCUGAUACAGUCUGGACCACAGCUCAGAACUAGGCCAGUGUCUCUACCAUCUCCCCCAGAUUAGAGCAAGAACACGUCAGUUACACAAGAUGAAUAUGUUCUAGAGUUUGCUGUGCACAACCGCGGCCACG